UACAGAGGUCCCGAGCGUUGUUCGGAUUCACUGGGCGUAAAGGGUGCGUAGGUGGUCUAUUAAGUCAGUGCUGAAAUAUCCCGGCUUAACCGGGAGGGUGGCAUUGAUACUGAUGGACUUGAGUAGAGUCGAGGUAGGCGGAAUUGACGGUGUAGCGGUGAAAUGCUUAGAUAUCGUCAAGAACACCUAUAGCGAAGGCAGCUUACUAGGCUCUAACUGACACUGAGGCACGAAAGUGUGGGGAUCAAACAGG
rnacentral:rRNA from 1 species